rnacentral:rRNA from 1 species
UGCAAGUCGAGGGGCAGCAUGAGUGUAGCAAUACAUUUGAUGGCGACCGGCAAACGGGUGCGGAACACGUACAGAACCUUCCUUCGAGCGGGGAAUAGCCCAGAGAAAUUUGGAUUAAUACCCCAUAGCAUUACAGAGUGGCAUCACUUUGUAAUUAAAGAUUUAUCACUUGAAGAUGGCUGUGCGGCUGAUUAGAUAGUUGGCGGGGUAACGGCCCACCAAGUCUACGAUCAGUAACUGGUGUGAGAGCACGACCAGUCACACGGGCACUGAGACACGGGCCCGACUCCUACGGGAGGCAGCAGUAAGGAAUAUUGGGCAAUGGAGGCAACUCUGACCCAGCCAUGCCGCGUGGAGGAUGAAGGCCCUCUGGGUUGUAAACUUCUUUUAUUUGGGACGAAAAAAGGCUUUUCUAAGCCGACUGACGGUACCAGAUGAAUAAGCACCGGCUAACUCCGUGCCAGCAGCCGCGGUAAUACGGAGGGUGCAAGCGUUAUCCGGAUUCACUGGGUUUAAAGGGUGCGUAGGUGGGUUGGUAAGUCAGUGGUGAAAUCCCCGAGCUUAACUUGGGAACUGCCAUUGAUACUAUCAGUCUUGAAUAUUGUGGAGGUCAGCGGAAUAUGUCAUGUAGCGGUGAAAUGCUUAAUAUGACAUAGAACACCAAUUGCGAAGGCAGCUGGCUACACAUAUAUUGACACUGAGGCACGAAAGCGUGGGGAUCAAACAGGAUUAGAUACCCUGGUAGUCCACGCCCUAAACUAUGGAUACUCGACAUAUGCGAUACACAGUAUGUGUCUGACGAAAGCAUUAAUAUCCCACCUGGGAAGUACGAUCGCAAGAUUGAAACUCAAAGAAUUGGCGGGGGUCCGCACAAGCGGGGA